rnacentral:rRNA from 1 species
UCUUGUGGGGGGACACGCGGAGAGGUCACUUUUUAAAUGGUGGAGGGGGUGCUGUGGGGUCUCACGAGUAUUGUGCGCGCCCUUUUCACUUUUCCUUCUUCCACCCGUGCACACACUGUAGAUAUCGGAUAAAUUUUCGGUGGGAUUUUUUUUAAUAUGGCCGGCUGUGAUAGCUGUUCUUUUGCGAGGGGUUCAGUGCACUUUCCGGGUUUUAUGUGUCUCUCACAUAUUCUAAGUAAUGUCAUAGAAUGUAUAGUGGGUCGUAUGACCUCUAAAAUUAUAAUACAACUCUCAACACAGGAUAUCUUGGCUCUCGCAUAGAGGAAGAGCGCACAGAAAUACGAUAAGUAAUAUGAAAAGCAGAGAUCACAGAAUCAUAGAAUCUUUGAACGCACCCUGCGCUCCCUGGUAUUCCGAGGAGCACACCCGUGUGAGAGUCACAAAAUUUUCAAUAUCUUCCGGAUUUUUUUAUUCGGUGGAGACUUGGAUGUGAGGGCUUGCCGGUUACUCAAUCGGCUCCCUUUAAAAAUGUUAGCGUUGCCUCAGCCGAUCGAACGCCCCUCGGUAUGAUAAUUAUCUAUGCCGUGUCGGGGAUCGCAUGAGAGUAUGCUCCUAACCUGUCUCAUCUGAGACAUAUUCAUCAUAUCUUGACCUCAAAUCAGGGAGGACACC